UUAUUCAGUAUGCUGAGUUUCAAAUGAUUAAGAAUGAUCCAGGAUGGGAGGAGGAUUUUGGAGGAGAGGAGGCGAAACACCUUCAGCUGUUAAAUGGGAGGACAGGAUCAUAGAGAUUCGUGAAGGUUCUUGGUCCUACGUUUCUAGUUCGAUCGGCAAAGCCCCUGUGCAGAGAAAGUUGUAGGCACUGCAACACCUCAAGAACCACCUGAGGAGUGGCAAGCUUCAUGGAACAUCUCAACAGGAAAUGAACUAUUAAUACGUUGGGCGUCUCCGACAUCCAGUUCAGGCUUGAAUUUUGUCAUAAGAAACAAGGAACCUACUGACAGGAUGGUACAGCCCAUUUCCGGAAUCACUGAUUGUCAAAAUCACUGAUUGUCAAAAUCCUUUUUUGUUUUAAUACAAAAAUAUAAAUCUCUGCCUCCAAAAAAAA